rnacentral:rRNA from 1 species
AACGAACGCUGGCGGCAUGCCUAACACAUGCAAGUCGAACGAGAUCUUCGGGUCUAGUGGCGCACGGGUGCGUAACGCGUGGGAAUCUGCCCUUUGGUUCGGAAUAACAGUUGGAAACGACUGCUAAUACCGGAUGAUGACGAAAGUCCAAAGAUUUAUCGCCAGAGGAUGAGCCCGCGUAGGAUUAGCUAGUUGGUGUGGUAAAGGCGCACCAAGGCAACGAUCCUUAGCUGGUCUUAUAUUAUUGUAAGCAAAACUGGGACUGAGACACGGCCCAGACUCCUGCGGGAGGCAGCAGUGGGGAAUAUUGGACAAUGGGCGAAAGCCUGAUCCAGCAAUGCCGCGUGAGUGAUGAAGGCCUUAGGGUUGUAAAGCUCUUUUACCCGGGAUGAUAAUGACAGUACCGGGAGAAUAAGCCCCGGCUAACUCCGUGCCAGCCGCCGCCGUAA